rnacentral:rRNA from 1 species
UACGUAGGGGGCUAGCGUUGUCCGGAAUUAUUGGGCGUAAAGAGCUCGUAGGCGGCUUGUCACGUCGGAUGUGAAAGCCCGGGGCUUAACCCCGGGUCUGCAUUCGAUACGGGCUAGCUAGAGUGUGGUAGGGGAGAUCGGAAUUCCUGGUGUAGCGGUGAAAUGCGCAGAUAUCAGGAGGAACACCGGUGGCGAAGGCGGAUCUCUGGGCCAUUACUGACGCUGAGGAGCGAAAGCGUGGGGAGCGAACAGG